rnacentral:miRNA from 1 species
CAGGUGUUACGUGCGGAAAUUGUUACCAUUUUAAGCCGAAAAUGGUAACGAUUUCCGCUCGUAAUACAAA